AUUGAACGCUGGCGGCAGGCCUAACACAUGCAAGUCGAACGAGUGGCGGACGGGUGAGUAAGGUCUGGGAAACUGCUUGAUGGAGGGGGAUAACUCCUGGAAACGGUAGCUAUUACCGCAUACCAUCGGAUGUGCCCUGAUGGGAUUAGCUAGUAGGUGUGGUAAAGGCUCACCUAGGCGACGAUCCCUAGCUGGUCUGAGAGGGUGACCAGCCACACUGGAACUGAGACACGGUCCAGACUCCUACGGGAGGCAGCAGUGGGGAAUAUUGCACAAUGGGCGAAAGCCUGAUGCAGCAACGCCGCGUGUGUGAAGAAGGCCUUCGGAUUGUAAAGUACUUUCAGCAGGGAAGCGUUACCCGAAGAGGAAGCACCGGCUAACUCCGUGCCAGCAGCCGCGGUAAUAC
rnacentral:rRNA from 1 species